GCUGGCGGCGUGCCUAACACAUGCAAGUCGAACGAGAAAGUCCCGCAAGGGAUGAGUACAGUGGCGCACGGGUGAGUAACACGUGACUAACCUACCUUCGAGUGGGGAAUAACCUCGGGAAACCGGGGCUAAUACCGCAUAACAUCAUCGGGUGAAAUUCCUGCUGAUCAAAAGUUUUUUGCUUGAAGAGGGGGUCGCGGCUGAUUAGCUAGUUGGUGAGGUGAUGGCUCACCAAGGCGAUGAUCAGUAGCCGGCCUGAGAGGGCGCACGGCCACACUGGAACUGAAACACGGUCCAGACUCCUACGGGAGGCAGCAGUGGGGAAUUUUGCGCAAUGGGGGAAACCCUGACGCAGCAACGCCGCGUGGAGGAUGAAGUCCCUUGGGACGUAAACUCCUUUCGACCGGGACGAAUUAUGACGGUACCGGAAGAAGAAGCCCCGGCUAACUUCGUGCCAGCAGCCGCGGUAAUACGAGGGGGGCAAGCGUUAUUCGGAAUUAUUGGGCGUAAAGGGCGCGUANGCGGUGCGGAAAGUCUUCAGUGAAAUCUCUGGGCUCAACU
rnacentral:rRNA from 1 species